rnacentral:rRNA from 1 species
GACGAACGCUGGCGGCGUGCCUAAUACAUGCAAGUUGAGCGAUGAAGAUUGGUGCUUGCACCCAUUUGAAGAGCAGCGAACGGGUGAGUAACGCGUGGGGAAUCUGCCUUUGAGCGGGGGACAACAUUUGGAAACGAAUGCUAAUACCGCAUAAUAACUUUAAACAUAAGUUUUAAGUUUGAAAGAUGCAAUUGCAUCACUCAAAGAUGAUCCCGCGUUGUAUUAGCUAGUUGGUGAGGUAAAGGCUCACCAAGGCGAUGAUACAUAGCCGACCUGAGAGGGUGAUCGGCCAAAUUGGGACUGAGACACGGCCCAAACUCCUACGGGAGGCAGCAGUAGGGAAUCUUCGGCAAUAGACGAAAGUCUGACCGAGCAACGCCGCGUGAGUGAAGAAGGUUUUCGGAUCGUAAAACUCUGUUGGUAGAGAAGAACGUUGGUGAGAGUGGAAAGCUCAUAAAGUGACGGUAACUACCCAGAAAGGGACGGCUAACUACGUG